UGGAGGCUUCAGCCGGGACCUCCGAGGAGAUGGAGCUUCCGCA
rnacentral:pre_miRNA from 1 species